rnacentral:lncRNA from 1 species
CUAUCACACUUUAUUCAUAAUCACGCUAGCAAAUGCACUUUGAAUGUGUUUUUAUUAUUUUUCCUAUCUUUUCUUUUCUUUAAAAUUUUCGUCCAUAUCUCCAACAAGAGUACCCUUCUGGGGGCAUAAGUAUGAGUCCAGGGCCGGCCUUGGCCUAAGGCCAACUAGGCCAUGGCCUCGGACCUCCAAUUUUUUGGGGGCUCAUAAAUAUCAUUCAACCCACAUAUAUUUACAACCAGCACCAAAGCCUAAAAAAACCUAUGGAUUUUAGCUAGGGAACACUCUGCCGAUGAAGAAUUCCAGGAAAGAAGAGAAUGGUUUCUAAGCCAUUAAGGAAGAAAAUUGAGACUCCAAGGAGUUGUCUGGCCAUGGUUUCUAAGCAAUUUUCUUUGUCUUCAUUCGAGCCCAAGGGAUUGUUUGGCUAUUCAUGUCUUGGAUCUUGAAGAUGGAAGACAUAGUGAAAACUGUUUCUAAGGUCAACUUUGAUCUGUAUAAUUUUUAAUCAAAUUCUUGAUUUUUCUUUUCAUUUUUUGAAUUCUUGCCCUUGAUUCUCUGUUCAUGA